GGGUGUGAUCAUACCAACGUUAAUGCACCGGAUCCCAUCAGAACUUCACAGUUAAGUGUGCUUGGGCUAGAGUAGUACUGGGAUGGGUGACCUCCUGGGAAGUCCUAGUGUUGGAACCU
rfam:Picea glauca, whole genome shotgun sequence.